CUACUACUGCCUUCGUCCGAAAAUACUUGUCAUUGAAAUGGAUGUAUCUAGAUUUAUUUUAGUUCUAGACACAUCCAUUUUGAUGACAAGUAAUUCCAGACGGAGGGAGUAUUAU
rfam:Triticum aestivum genome assembly, contig: Triticum_aestivum_CS42_TGACv1_scaffold_592224_7BS